AAAUUUUCUGUAUAUUGUCACAUUAGAAUACCUAGUAUCUUUGCGGCUACUGAUAAUGAUUAAAAUAGAAGAAAAAUGCAAACAGAUCAAGACCAAAGUUUUUGCCAUAUGAUUCUAACCACAUACAGAUCUCUGUCUAGAAAAGUCCUGAGACAUGAUAAAUCAGAAUCUGUUGAAGAGACAUAUAAUAAUGAGAAAAGAAAGAACGUGGUAAGUUUUUGCAGUAGGAAAAGCUCUAAUAAUGGAUGUGCCUGCAGAGGGAGCAUUCUAACCAGAAGAGAGGCACAAGCAUGAAUCAUGCAGAUCUCCGAUGAGACUUUGUGACAAGCUUGUCACCAUCUGCAGUGAACUAGAAAAACACCACUGAAACAAGAAAGAAAGAGCUGCAUCAAGACAAUGAAAGUGUGGUACUCCAAUGCCUAUUCCUUAUCACUGGAUCAAGAAAACUCAUUUAACGAGCUAAUGCUCACCUGGGAAAUAAAUUUUGGCUUCUCGUCAUAUACAUCUCAUUUACUGUGAGGCAUGUAUAUUUGGUGUUGAAACACACAGGAGACAUUGCAGUGCUCUCUUUAGUGAGAACUAGUUGAUAGAAGGGUAUUUAUAAGAAGAACAUCUAAGAAAAGAGUAACUGCAUCUCCACCUUCCCUAUUUUAGUUCAAAUAGACAGGCCCCAAGCUGCAGAAGGUAUUUAUAUUGCAAAUGGAUCCAGCCCAAGCGUUCAUACACUAGGGGCUAUGCUGGUGAGUUUAAUAAUCUUUCUGUUGUGCAAUUACUGAGAAUGAACCUUUAUUUCUAGUGAUGUGCUCUUGCUCUUGAAUGUCUGCAACCCACCCCCUAGUUGGCAAUAGUGCUUUUAUAUCUUUUUUUAAUCCUCUGACAUUAUGUGCCUCUGUUUUAAUGCUAGAGAAAACAGGGUGCUGCCAGGAUUGAAUGCAUCCCACAUGUUCCAAUUGUGUUUUCAUGUGAAUUUGACCUCUGAUACACAAAAUUCCUAUCUUGCAGUGUGCACAUAUGUGAGCCAUUUCUGAAAGGGGGGAGAACAGAACUCUGAUUCAGCUGAAUGGAACAUUCUUAUGUAGUGACAGUCAAAGGAAUUUUACAUUAACUACCGUGUAAAUUUAUGAGUCACUUUUAUCAAAUAAAUGUUCUUUUUAUAUGCUGAGAUUGCUGGAUUUUAUGUUUACUUGUUUGGUUGGUUGGUUGGUUGGUUGUUUUUAAAUGUGGAAAGGAUAAGGGAU